rnacentral:rRNA from 1 species
UCGCCUGUUUAUCAAAAACAUCGUCGGUGUCUACUUUCGCCGAUAAGAUCUGCCCAGUGAUUUAUUCAACGGCCGCAGUAUCCUGACUGUGCUAAGGUAGCGUAAUCAUUAGUUUUUUAAUUGAAAACUCGUAUGAAUGAUUCGACGAGAAAUUUUCUGUCUCUAAAGUACUUCAACUUACUUUAUAAGUCAAAAAGCUUUUUUAUUUCAAAAGGACGACAAGACCCUAUAAAACUUUACCUUGCCGCAAAACUCCCCCUUAGAAUAUUAUACUAUUUAAGAAAAGGUUAUGCUGGGGCGGCAAACUUUAAUUUAAACAAAUUCCACACUAACAUAAUGAAUGAAAUUAAUAAACACCUCACGUAAUAAAGAACAAGUUACUUUAGGGAUAACAGCGCAAUAUCUUUUUAGAGCCCUUAUCGGCAAAGAUGUUUACGACCUCGAUGUUGAAUUGAAAUGACCUGUACGGAGCAACCCUCGUACAAGGAAGUCUGUUCGACUUUUAAUCCUUCACAUGAUCUGAGUUCAAACCGGA